rnacentral:rRNA from 1 species
UACAGAGGGGGCAAGCGUUGUUCGGAAUUACUGGGCGUAAAGGGCGCGUAGGCGGCCUGCUAAGUCGAACGUGAAAUCCCUGGGCUCAACCCAGGAACUGCGUCCGAUACUGGUUGGCUUGAAUCCGGGAGAGGGAUGUGGAAUUCCAGGUGUAGCGGUGAAAUGCGUAGAUAUCUGGAGGAACACCAGCGGCGAAGGCGGCGCUCUGGGCCGGAACUGACGCUGAGGAGCGAAAGCGUGGGUAGCAAACAGG